rnacentral:rRNA from 1 species
GAUGAACGCUGGCGGCGUGCUAAACACAUGCAAGUCGAACGAAGCACUUUAUUUGAUUUCCUUCGGGACUGAUUAUUUUGUGACUGAGUGGCGGACGGGUGAGUAACGCGUGGGUAACCUGCCUUGUACAGGGGGAUAACAGUUGGAAACGGCUGCUAAUACCGCAUAAGCGCACAGCAUCGCAUGAUGCAGUGUGAAAAACUCCGGUGGUAUAAGAUGGACCCGCGUUGGAUUAGCUAGUUGGUGAGGUAACGGCCCACCAAGGCGACGAUCCAUAGCCGACCUGAGAGGGUGACCGGCCACAUUGGGACUGAGACACGGCCCAAACUCCUACGGGAGGCAGCAGUGGGGAAUAUUGCACAAUGGGCGAAAGCCUGAUGCAGCGACGCCGCGUGAGCGAAGAAGUAUUUCGGUAUGUAAAGCUCUAUCAGCAGGGAAGAUAAUGACGGUACCUGACUAAGAAGCACCGGCUAAAUACGUG